rnacentral:rRNA from 2 species
GGAUGCGAUCAUACCAGCACUAAAGCAUCGGAUCCCAUCAAAACUCCGAAGUUAAGCGUGCGUGGGCGAGAGUAGUACUAGGAUGGGUGACCUCCUGGGAAGUCCUCGUGUUGCAUUCC